rnacentral:lncRNA from 1 species
CAGAGCCAAAGCAGACGUCUUUCCUCAGCCCAAAAUGAUGGCCCUGAAAAUGCAGACUGCGCAACUUGGCGUGGGAGCAGGCGGUGCUGUCCUGGGGUUGCCAGAUGGUGUGCACUCACAUGGACAUAGCAUGUGGGCUCUGCCGGAUGGACGAGGUUGAGACCCAUGAGUCAGAUAGCAGGAAGUGAGUGGUCAGAGUAUCUCAUCUUUGUGUUUUAAUUUGGAUCUCAUGGAUGGCCAUUGCACCCACACUAUUACUCAUUACUUCCAGACCAGUGUGAAUCUUUUCCUGAGUUUUGCUGCAAUAUCUGCAUUUGCUUCCAAGAAGACCAGGAGACUUUUUGAAGAAACUGCUCUAAAGGUAGAGCAGAAUUCUAGUUAGUUCUCUCUCCUUCUACCC